rnacentral:misc_RNA from 1 species
UGUUGCUGUUGUCUGGCCAAUGUGU